GCUGAACGGCUUCCCUGGAAUAUUCUCCUGUAUGAUUGGAAGAAAAGAGAGUGAGAACCUUCUCGGAAUUUAAAUUGAAAUUAGAUACGAUGUGGGAUAAAAAUACAUGACCAACAUUAACAACACGGCAGAAGGUUUUAUGACUGCCACUAGAUGGCACAAUAACACAGAAAAUAAUGGUACUAUGCCACUCAUGCUCAUAUUAUCUAAGACUCACCUUGGAAAACUUGGACCAGGACACUUGAUAGUCGCUGCAGGAGGCAUGCUGACCUACAGAGACAAAGAGAAACUAUCAUAAAUGGCCGUCCCAGGAAAACAAGGUCAGCAGCUUUUUAGUUAUUCUCUGAACUUGUUUUAGAAAAUUCUUUGAACUCUGUGAGCAGCAGCACUAAUGUACUAGUGUGACCUUCCCCGUGUGGGCAUAAAGUGGUUUUACUACAGUUUCCGAGACAAACAGCAUGUUGUCAUGAAGCUUUGAGGUACGAGUUCUCAUCAACAACAAACCCACCGAAUCAAAACGCAGCGCAUACGCAACGGCCUUUCAUGGUGCCUUUUUCAUAGGCUUCAACGGUAAUCUGGGAAAUUUCAAUAAAAGACCAAGCUCCCUGUUGUUUCACGUGAAGUCUGGCUCAGCUUGAAGCAAACGUGUUUGCUUUAUGCAUAAACGGAAGUGGUCAGCAAUAUAUAAGAACAGCCACGCUGGAAGGGUGAUUCACUGGAUUUAAAUGAGCGACUUUCUGGAGUCUCUGCACCACCUACAUGCUUGAAUAUCUCUGUUGGUGUGUGGUUUCACAAUGACAGAGGUGUCGCUUCACCCUCCAUAAACAAAACAAAACUAAAAGACAAACAUACCAAAGAGCUUUUCUCCCAGCAUGGUGAGCUGCUCUUUGUUGAGGCCUCGCCCGGCAAAAGUGGAGAACUGCCAGCUGAGGACCUCAGAGAGCUGGCUCCAGCUGGCCCGAGGAGGGUUCCCAAAGAAAGCCAGGUUCUGUGGAGGAAGAUGGAGAAGAAGAAGUCCAGUAUGGCUCACCCUCGGCUCAUCAGUCAGGAGGUUGU